AAGUCGUAACAAGGUUUCCGUAGGUGAACCUGCGGAAGGAUCAUUACUGAGAUAGGGCCCCUCGGGGCCCGACCUCCAACCCUUUGUCUACCUUUCCACUGUUGCCUCGGCGAGUCGCCGGCGCCCUGACGGGCGUCGCCGUCGGCCUCUGCGCCCUCGAGUGCCCGCCGCCAGGCCCCUAAACCCUCUGUGAACCAGCCUUCUGAGAGUAUAUUCAAUACUUAAAA
rnacentral:misc_RNA from 1 species